GUGCUGUACUACCCCAUGCUGCAGGACCGAGACCUGAGCAGCAAGUUACUGUGUACUCACAGCUAUACAAAAGAUUGAAAAAUUUGAGAUCACCCCAAAAGACCAAUCCAAAGAGGCGCCGACUCGAGGAGCCAAAGUGCCAACCUGACUGACCCAGAUGAAUUUGAUUCAAGUGACUCAACAGUCAUUCUGGAUCUCCCCUCAAAAGGGGGGCAGCAUUCAAGCAUUCAAGACUUCCCUUCUGAAGGGAGUAGCACCCCAGACUCGGGCAGCAAUGCCAGAUAUGCCCGCAUCUUUGCGUAAGAAGAAAACUCCAAACCGUGAGUCCGUCUCUCAGCUCCUGGAUUUGGAAUUUUCAGCCAGAAGAGCAUUCAUUGACUCUGAUUCUUUUUGCGAGGAGGACAGACACAAGAAAAUUCCAGAGGACAUUGGACAUGUGAUGGGGGAGCUUCAACGCAUUCUGGACAAAAAUAACAUCCAUUACAUUGAUGAGCUGAAGGGAAGAUGGGACGACUUCUGCCAGAAGGUGCAGUUUUUUGGUGUGUGGAAAAAGCUGCUGAAACCCUCAGUAGGAAUGG
ensembl:lncRNA